GCUGGGUGUGGUGGCGUACAUCUGUACUUCCAGCUACUUGGGAGGCUGAGACAGGAGGACCUCUUGAGCCCAGGAGUUUGAGGUUUCAGUGAGCUAUGAUCAUGCCACUGCACUCCAGCCUGGGCAACAGAGUGAGUCCCUGUCUCCA
rnacentral:SRP_RNA from 1 species